GAUGAACGCUGGCGGCGUGCCUAAUACAUGCAAGUCGAGCGAACAGACGAGGAGCUUGCUCCUCUGACGUUAGCGGAGGACGGGUGAGUAACACGUGGAUAACCUACCUAUAAGACUGGGAUAACUUCGGGAAACCGGAGCUAAUACCGGAUAAUAUAUUGAACCGCAUGGUUCAAUAGUGAAAGACGGCUUUGCUGUCACUUAUAGAUGGAUCCGCGCCGCAUUAGCUAGUUGGUAAGGUAACGGCUUACCAAGGCAACGAUGCGUAGCCGACCUGAGAGGGUGAUCGGCCACACUGGAGCUGAGACACGGUCCAGACUCCUACGGGAGGCAGCAGUAGGGAAUCUUCCGCAAUGGGCGAAAGCCUGACGGAGCAACGCCGCGUGAGUGAUGAAGGUCUUCGGAUCGUAAAACUCUGUUAUUAGGGAAGAACAAAUGUGUAAGUAACUAUGCACGUCUUGACGGUACCUAAUCAGAAAGCCACGGCUAACUACGUG
rnacentral:rRNA from 1 species